UUGUCUUUUAAAUAAAGACUAGUAUGAACGGCUAAAUGAGGACAGAUCUGUCUCUUACAAUUGACCAGUGAAACUGAUCUUCAAGUCCAAAAGCUUGAAUGAACACAUAAGACGAGAAGACCCUGUGGAGCUUCAAACCCACACUAUAAUUAACCAAAUAGCACCGGUUUUAAGUUGGGGCGACUUCGGAAUACAACCUAACUUCCGAGCACAGGGCCAUCACACCCUCACCAAGACCGACAGGUCAAAGAAAAAUCCGACCCAGUCACACUGACCAACGAACCAAGUUACCCCAGGGAUAACAGCGCUAUCUUCUUCAAGAGUCCCUAUCGACAAGAAGGUUUACGACCUCGAUGUUGGAUCAGGACACCCAAAAUGGUGCAGCAACUAUUAAAGGUUCGUUUGUUCAACGAUU
rnacentral:rRNA from 1 species